UACAGGGGAUGCAAGUGUUAUCCGGAAUUAUUGGGCGUAAAGCGUCUGCAGGUGGAAAACCAAGUCUUUUGUUAAACCUCGGGGCUUAACCCCGAAUCUGCAAAAGAAACUGUUUUUCUAGAGUAUGGUAGAGGUAAAGGGAAUUUCCAGUGGAGCGGUGAAAUGCGUAGAGAUUGGAAAGAACACCAAGAGCGAAGGCACUUUACUGGGCCAUUACUGACACUCAGAGACGAAAGCUAGGGGAGCAAACAGG
rnacentral:rRNA from 1 species